GGCUCAAUCAUCAGCAUUUAUUGAGUGCCCACUGUGUACACACAGGACUGACAACACUAACCCAGUCCCUGCUCCAAAGAAAGCCCAGGAUCCCCGGGGGAAGUAGACCAUAAUGAAAUCACCAAAAAAAGUUCUACGCCCAAAGACCAUCCUGGCUCCUUGCCCACAGCCUGCUCUGCGGACUGUUGUGACAACCAUUUGCCUGCCCCCACCCCCUCCUGCAUUUCACCUUCAGGAGAAGCAAGCGGGAACCGCCAAGCCUUUGCAUUUGCCGUGCCUUCCACCACGAGUGCCAUCUCAGGAAUUGUGGCAGGGCUGGCUCCUUCCUGCCCUGCCGAUCUGAGAGCAAAUUCUGCUCCUGUGCUACGAAGUGAACAGCCAGAUUCCUGUGCCAAGAAGCUUCCGUCAUUUCCCAGCUGGGUAGCUUUGGGUCUCCUCAGUUACCUCAUCUAAAAAAUAGGGGAAACACUAGCAUCUACUUUCUAGGGGAGUUUCGAAGGGUGAGUAAAUGAAUAAGUGUCCAUAAAGUGCUUAAAA